rnacentral:rRNA from 1 species
CCUACGGGAGGCAGCAGUGGGGAAUAUUGCACAAUGGGCGAAAGCCUGAUGCAGCAACGCCGCGUGAGGGACGACGGCCUUCGGGUUGUAAACCUCUUUUAGUAGGGAAGAAGCGAAAGUGACGGUACCUGCAGAAAAAGCACCGGCUAACUACGUGCCAGCAGCCGCGGUAAUACGUAGGGUGCAAGCGUUGUCCGGAAUUAUUGGGCGUAAAGAGCUCGUAGGCGGUUUGUCGCGUCUGCUGUGAAAACCCCGNGGCUCAACCUCGGACCUGCAGUGGGUACGGGCAGACUAGAGUGCGGUAGGGGAGAUUGGAAUUCCUGGUGUAGCGGUGGAAUGCGCAGAUAUCAGGAGGAACACCGAUGGCGAAGGCAGAUCUCUGGGCCGUAACUGACGCUGAGGAGCGAAAGCAUGGGGAGCGAACAGGAUUAGAUACCCUGGUAGUCCAUGCCGUAAACGUUGGGAACUAGAUGUAGGGACCAUUCCACGGUUUCUGUGUCGCNGCUACGACAUAGUUCCCGUCCGUCGGGAGGUACGGCCGCGAAGACGUAAACGUUAAACGUAGUAAGUUAGUACGGUUCGUUGUAGACGUUCGCCGACGGCGACGACGAGGGAGGAGG